CUCAGCGAAAAACUUCUGAUCGUUUACUCGGGCCCCACCUCUACAGAAUGCAUAAGUAUGCAGCGUAACAUGACGGUAAAUUACCACCAGAAUUUUGAAUAUUUUCUCGCUUAUGGGCUCCCGAGAACUCCUGAAGAUGAGCGUUUGGUUGAUAUCAUAAUUGUUUUGACCG
rnacentral:ribozyme from 1 species